AGUGAACGCUGGCGGUAGGCCUAACACAUGCAAGUCGAACGGCAGCACAGUAAGAGCUUGCUCUUACGGGUGGCGAGUGGCGGACGGGUGAGGAAUACAUCGGAAUCUACUUUUUCGUGGGGGAUAACGUAGGGAAACUUACGCUAAUACCGCAUACGACCUACGGGUGAAAGCAGGGGAUCUUCGGACCUUUCGCGAUUGAAUGAGCCGAUGUCGGAUUAGCUAGUUGGCGGGGUAAGGGCCCACCAAGGCGACGAUCCGUAGCUGGUCUGAGAGGAUGAUCAGCCACACUGGAACUGAGAAACGGCCCAGACUCUUACGGGAGGCAGCAGUGGGGAAUAUUGGACAAUGGGCGCAAGCCUGAUCCAGCCAUACCGGGUGGGUGAAGAAGGCCUUCGGGUUGUAAAGCCCUUUUGUUGGGAAAGAAAAGCAGCAGGUUAAUACCCCGCUGUUCUGACGGUACCAAAAGAAUAAGCACCGGCUACUUUCGG
rnacentral:rRNA from 1 species